CCAUGCCGAACUCAGAAGUGAAACGCCGUAGCGCCGAUGGUAGUGUGGAGUCUCCCCAUGCGAGAGUAGGGAACUGCCAGGCA
rnacentral:rRNA from 1 species